UACGUAGGGUGCGAGCGUUGUCCGGAAUUAUUGGGCGUAAAGAGCUUGUAGGCGGUCUGUCGCGUCUGCUGUGAAAAUCCGGGGCUCAACCCCGGACUUGCAGUGGGUACGGGCAGACUAGAGUGUGGUAGGGGAGACUGGAAUUCCUGGUGUAGCGGUGAAAUGCGCAGAUAUCAGGGGGAACACCGGUGGCGAAGGCGGCUUCCUGGUCCAGCACCGACGUUCAGGCACGAAAGCGUGGGGAGCAAACAGG
rnacentral:rRNA from 1 species